rnacentral:rRNA from 1 species
AGCGUAGACGGAUGGACAAGUCUGAUGUGAAAGGCUGGGGCUCAACCCCGGGACUGCAUUGGAAACUGCCCGUCUUGAGUGCCGGAGAGGUAAGCGGAAUUCCUAGUGUAGCGGUGAAAUGCGUAGAUAUUAGGAAGAACACCAGUGGCGAAGGCGGCUUACUGGACGGUAACUGACGUUGAGGCUCGAAAGCGUGGGGAGCAAACA